rnacentral:rRNA from 1 species
GACAGAGGGUGCAAACGUUGUUCGGAAUUACUGGGCGUAAAGCGCGUGUAGGCGGCUAGGUAAGUCAGGCGUGAAAUCCCACGGCUCAACCGUGGAAGUGCACCUGAUACUGCAUAGCUAGAGUCCUGGAGAGGAAGGUGGAAUGCUUGGUGUAGAGGUGAAAUUCGUAGAUAUCGGAAGGAACAUCAGUGGCGAAAGCGACUUCCUGGACCAAUACUGACGCUCAUGUGCGAAAGCGUGGGGAGCAAACAGG